ensembl:snRNA U1 U1 spliceosomal RNA
ACACUUACCUAGCAGGGAGGUAUGGUGAUCACGAAGGCGGCUUUUCCAGGUCGAGCCUUUUCUACUGCACUAAGGAUGUGUUGAUCCCUGCGAUUUCCCCAAAUGUUAGAAACUCGACUGCAUAAUUUGUGGUAGUGGAAAAGUGCGGUCGCUUUUUCCCU